rnacentral:rRNA from 1 species
GACGUAGGGCGCGAGCGUUGUCCGGAUUUACUGGGCGUAAAGAGCGCGCAGGCGGUCGAUCAAGUCGCGUGUGAAAGCCCCCGGCUCAACUGGGGAGGGUCACGCGAUACUGAUCGACUCGAAGGCAGGAGAGGGUAGUGGAAUUCCCGGUGUAGUGGUGAAAUGCGUAGAGAUCCGGAGGAACACCAGCGGCGAAGGCGGCAUCCUGGACUGGUCCUGACACUCAUGAGCGAAAGCGUGGGGAGCGAUCCGG